rnacentral:lncRNA from 1 species
UCAAAUCAUAAGGGCAAAUUUGAAAAAAAAGUCAAUGAUUCACUUAUUUUGAAACACCAAUAAAUACCCAAACAAUUCACUUAUUUUGAAAUGGAGUGAGUAAUAGAUUUCAUUAAUAGGCAACUUAGCAGUUGCAAAAAGGGUACUAGAUAGUACAGAGAGAUUACCUAAGCUAGCUAAUUUAUUACAAGCAGUUCUAGAGAGAGUCUUCUGGUGAGAAGCUUUGAAGAGAGUCAGCUUCGAGGCUAGACAAAAAUUAGCUUGGAGGACUUGACAAAAACUGCACUUGGUCCCCAGGAGAAGUUGCAUCUAUCUUACAUAAUCCAUCCGCCACCAUAUUUUGCCUGCCGAAAAUUAUGGGUGAGAGCUGGAUUCCCCAGUUUCUUCAAGAGCAACCUGCAAGAUCAAACAGUGGAAUUAAGCAGAGGUGGAGAGGUGUCAAGAAUAAGAAAAAGAUCAGUAGAAUCAAAUUCUACUAUCGGUGUAGAUUUUGAAGCUCAGCUAUUUCAAAGCCUUGAUGGAAGGCCAAAAUUUCAGAAUGCGCAGCAUUUCGGGCUUCACAAGGUCCAGCAAAACCGAAGACCCAAGAUAUUUACCAAAUUGAUCUGAUUUGUGAAUAUUAAAACACCAAAAAACUAUAUCUUUCGAAGAUCGAGGAUAUUUUUUUGAAAAGAAAUCCUUUGAUUUGGCACAAUUUAUUUUUUGCCUGGAAAGUUUACAGAAAUACUCCAUGCAGUGAGCCAUGUUGUAAAUGGAGUGGGGAGUGGCUUUAGAUAUAAGCAUAAGGUUGUCGGCAAAAAAAAUAGGUGGGAGAAGAGAGGGCCAUUUCUAGAAAGUGAGACAGCAUCCCAUUGAAGUAUAUAUAUCUAAUUGGUGAUAGAUACAAUUUGAUAGAAG